GGGGAUAGAGGUAUCUGAUCAAUGUAAGCCGGAUAUGGUUUUCUGUAGGUGGGCCUUUCUCCUCUUCUGGCUUCAGGCUCCAUCAUUUCUCUUAUCAUUCUCAGCAGUGCCCCCAUGUCAUUCAAAGCAUUGAUAAGGUGUGGAUUUCGCCCCUGUUCUGGCUGGGUGUGGUCAAUCCUGUGCUCCAUUCUGCAUGGCCUGUGCAGAGCUUCC
rnacentral:lncRNA from 1 species